GUAAACGAUGAGUGCUAAGUGUUGGAGGGUUUCCGCCCUUCAGUGCUGCAGCUAACGCAUUAAGCACUCCGCCUGGGGAGUACGACCGCAAGGUUGAAACUCAAAGGAAUUGACGGGGGCCCGCACAAGCGGUGGAGCAUGUGGUUUAAUUCGAAGCAACGCGAAGAACCUUACCAGGUCUUGACAUCCUCUGACAAUCCUAGAGAUAGGGCUUUCCCUUCGGGGACAGAGUGACAGGUGGUGCAUGGUUGUCGUCAGCUCGUGUCGUGAGAUGUUGGGUUAAGUCCCGCAACGAGCGCAACCCUUGUCGUUAGUUGCCAUCAUUCAGUUGGGCACUCUAGCGAGACUGCCGGUGACAAACCGGAGGAAGGUGGGGAUGACGUCAAAUCAUCAUGCCCCUUAUGACCUGGGCUACACACGUGCUACAAUGGACGGUACAACGAGCAGCGAACUCGCGAGGGCAAGCGAAUCUCUUAAAGCCGUUCUCAGUUCGGAUUGCAGGCUGCAACUCGCCUGCAUGAAGCCGGAAUCGCUAGUAAUCGUGGAUCAGCAUGCCACGGUGAAUACGUUCCCGGGCCUUGUACACACCGCCCGUCACACCACGAGAGUUUGUAACACCCAAAGUCGGUGCGGUAACCUUUUGGAGCCAGCCGCCUAAGGUGGGAUAGAUGAUUGGGGUG
rnacentral:rRNA from 1 species